UACGAAGGGGGCUAGCGUUGUUCGGAAUUACUGGGCGUAAAGCGCGCGCAGGCGGUCCUUUAAGUCAGGGGUGAAAGCCCAGAGCUCAACUCUGGAACUGCCUUUGAAACUAGAGGACUUGGGUACGGGAGAGGUGAGUGGAAUUCCGAGUGUAGAGGUGAAAUUCGCAGAUAUCAGGAAGAACACCAAUGGCGAAAGCAGCUCUCUGGGACGGUACUGACGCUGAGACGCGAAAGCGUGGGGAGCGAACAGG
rnacentral:rRNA from 1 species